GAGCUGUGAUGAGUAUUGCGCUGUCUUGAUGGUUAGGGUCAUCAUAAUCGUCUGAUUUCAGAUGUUAGCUGCGCUGCUGAGCUU
rfam:Gossypium hirsutum cultivar TM-1 chromosome 14, whole genome shotgun sequence